UGUGGCGGGUGGGAGUCACGCAGGGAUCGCCAGUGAUGUUGAGGCUUCUGGCCUGACAGAGUGAGGACGAACGGAAGGAAGUUCCCAGUGGACAACUCACCAUUCCACUUCCUGAAAAGGGGGUACCUUAUCCAGGCCUCCAGUGAAGAGACAAGGCUGACAUCUCAGCUGCCACCCCGGGCCGGAAGCUAGCAGCCACGAACACCGAGGGACCACCACCGAGCUCAGAAACUGAGGACGCCCAACCUCCGGUCCCCACGAGGGACCGUCAGACUCAACACAGCCCCACAUCAGAGGAAGAGCCGAGGCAGCCACCAGCAGCAGACGUCUCCAUGUUGAGGAGACUUGUUGCAGAAACCCACUUCCUUCCCUCUACACUAUCUGCUGGCCCACAAAGUGGAGACUACCCCUGGUGAACUGAUCCCAGGCCUGCGUAUGGUGGCAGGCCUGUUCAGGGUGGGCAUACAGGGAUGGGGAACCAGGCUCAGCUUCUGCGCAGCCCCAUGUUGGGCAGGGAGCGUUCAUGGCCAGAGCCAGGGCUGUUUGAGAGAAGGGCGGUGGCUUCUGUUCUACUCAGCUGGCAUGAGCUUUCCCAGAGACCAAGGCCCAGCCGGGAGACGGCCUACCCUUCCUGCUCGCAGGCAGUCAUGGCUCCGCUGCCUACUAUCACACAGCAUCCCCCUGAAUGCACGGUUCUCUCCCCUAUGGAAAGGCAUAGAAAAAAUGUGAAAGGAAGGUUGGAGGUGGGAAAAUCAAGAGUUUUAUACACAGCCCUUGGUGUCCAUAGCUGACAUGGGCUGGAUCUAUUUUAGGAUAAAAUAAGAGUAAGUAAAUUACUCAAGCAAAUCAUUUAAAAGAGGAAUAACAGGAUUCAAACCCAAUCUUGGGAAAUGUCAGAGAGUUUAUUUUCUUUGCUGCACAAAUAAUUCUCAUCCUAAUGGGAUGAAGUGGUCUUUCCUUGAGGUUGCAUUUCCCUGAUGGCCACUGACAUGGAGCAUCUCU